GACGAAGGGGGCUAGCGUUGUUCGGAAUUACUGGGCGUAAAGGGCGCGUAGGCGGCCACCGCAAGUCGGUUGUGAAAUCUCUGGGCUUAACCCAGAAAGGUCAACCGAUACUGCGGGGCUAGAGUGCAGAAGGGGCAACUGGAAUUCUCGGUGUAGCGGUGAAAUGCGUAGAUAUCGAGAGGAACACCUGCGGCGAAGGCGGGUUGCUGGGCUGACACUGACGCUGAAGCGCGAAAGCUAGGGGAGCGAACGGG
rnacentral:rRNA from 1 species